CCCACCAUUGAUUAGAAGAUUUAGCUUGUAUGAAUCGCUAUUGGUUUGAUACGAAGAAUGACAAUCGUUUCAGUAUGUUAAGGAUACAGAUGUAUCCACAAUUCAUUUAGAGUUACUUAAUAGUCUAUUUCUUAUACCAUAUCUCUAUCCCGUGAAAUUCUCGAGCCAAAAGAUGGAUGCAUAUGCUGUGUUUCAUUUUGCUAAAUGAUAUCAAUUAAAUGGUGUAUCAAUUCCAUAAAUUGCAUAUAGCAAUAAAUAAAUCAGCAAAAUUCUUUCUAAUAUUUUAGAUAGAAGAAAUGUUUCUUCUAUCUAAAAUAUUAGAAAGAAUGUACCCUUCUAUCCAAAUCCAAUUUGCAUCGAUAAAAUAAAUCCAAAUUCCAGUAGUAGAUGAAUAAUUGCAAAUUUGUGUGUGUACGAGAUUAGAAUAACUUCAAAAUAACUGACAUAAUUUUGUAUUUUUCCUGAUCAGAAAAAUACAUGAAAAAGAAAGGAGGUAGAAAAAUUUUUGGAUUUAUGGUUAAAGAAGAAAAAGAAGAAAACAGGGGUUCUGUUGAAUUUCAAGUAUUCAGUUUCACCAAUAAGAUACGGGGACUUGCUUCACAUUUGGAAUUACACAAAAAAGAUUUUUCAUCGGAAAGAGGUCUACGAAGACUUUUGGGAAAACGUCGACGUUUGCUGGCUUAUUUGGCAAAGAAAAAUAGAGUACGUUAUAAGAAAUUAAUCGGUCAGUUGAAUAUUCGGGAGCAGUAAUUUAAUCGUUCAAAUUUUUUUCUUGUUUUAUUAUUUUUUUAGUAGUCUUAUAGUAGUCUUAGAUUUUUCAUUUUGAUGAGCCUCGCUUUGAGGAAUUCAUGGAAUAAUCCAUUUUCAUGGAAUAAUGAAUUAAGGAAGAAAGGAUAUGAGUCUACCGCUUACAAGAAAAGAUCUCAUGAUAGUCAAUAUGGGCCCUCAACACCCAUCAAUGCAUGGUGUUCUUCGACUGAUCGUUACUCUCGAUGGUGAGGAUGUUAUUGAUUGUGAACCCAUAUUAGGCUAUUUACACAGAGGAAUGGAAAAAAUCGCGGAAAACCGAACUAUUAUACAAUACUUACCUUAUGUAACAAGGUGGGAUUAUUUAGCUACUAUGGUUACAGAAGCAAUAACAGUAAAUGCACCAGAAUUCUUGGAGAAUAUUCAAAUACCACAAAGAGCCAGCUAUAUUAGGGUAAUUAUGUUAGAAUUAAGCCGGAUAGCUUCUCACUUGCUAUGGCUUGGACCUUUUAUGGCGGAUCUCGGCGCACAGACUCCUUUUUUCUAUAUUUUUAGAGAGAGAGAAUUAAUAUAUGAUCUAUUUGAAGCUGCUACAGGUAUGCGAAUGAUGCACAAUUACUUUCGCAUCGGAGGAGUAGCCGCCGAUCUACCUUAUGGAUGGAUCGAGAAAUGUUUAGAUUUCUGUGAUUAUUUUUUACGCGGAGUUGUUGAAUAUCAACAACUUAUUACACAGAAUCCAAUUUUUUUAGAGCGAGUUGAAGGAGUAGGUUUUAUUAGCGGAGAAGAAGCAGUAAAUUGGGGCUUAUCGGGACCGAUGUUACGAGCUUCUGGAAUACAAUGGGAUCUUCGUAAAG
rnacentral:lncRNA from 1 species